rnacentral:rRNA from 1 species
GACGAACGCUGGCGGCGUGCCUAAUACAUGCAAGUAGGACGCAGUUGCGAACGGGUGAGUAACGCGUAGGUAACUACCUAUUAGAGGGGGAUAACUAUUGGAAACGAUAGCUAAUACCGCAUACUAGUAGAUGGACCUGCGUUGUAUUAGCUAGUAGGUAGGGUAAAUGCCUACCUAGGCAACGAUACAUCUCCGAGCUGAGGUGGUGAUCGGGCACGCUUGGAGUGGGACACGGCCCAUGCGCCUACGGGAGGCAGCAGUAGGGGAUCUUCGGCAAUGGGGGGAACCCUGACCAGGCAACGCCGAGUGAGUGAAGAAGGUUUUCGGAUCGUAAAGCUCUGUUGUUAAGGAAGCGGUACUUAACCAGAAAGGGACGGCUAACUACGUGCCAGCAGCCGCGGUAAUUC